UUCUGAGAAUAACCGGGCCUCACCAAAAAAAUUAAUAACCGAUCGAUCGCAUGGAUCCACCGUCUCGCUAAGUAAAAGGGGCUGCCGAUUAUAAUCGAUCCGUUUAUAAGCGGCCGUUUACAUUGAUAGUCCUUUUCAGCAUUCAGUGUGAAUUAAUAGCGUCUGAAAAAAAAACAACGUUGUUGCUUUUUGGCCUAGUGAGGUUUGAUCUCGUUCAUGGGCCACAUGCAAGAAACACUCCAGCCAGAAAGCACAAAUAUAGGGAAUUAAAAUAUUGUGUUGGGGUUUACCUGCAGAUUUGCAGCACAAUGUGCUCAUACAUAUGAUUUCUUCCUUCAGCAGAACUUAAUUUCCUUCUUCCAAGUGGUAUAGUUAUAUCCUAUGCUAUAUAUAUAUAUAUAUAUAUAUAUAUCCCUUAAAGCUGUAAUUAUAGGGUAAAAACGUUUUGACCGUACACUGCUCCAAACUAGCGAUGUUGAACGCCCUGUUCACACCGCUAGCCUCAAACUAUCCGCGGGGACGCGGCAACGAGGGGUGGGCGGCAGUUGCAGCGGCGGCGUCAGGCGGCGGUAAGCCCGCUAGCUCGAGUCGGCUACUUAUCUGGCGGUGACCCAUAUUCUAUUCCUAGCGCCCAGCGAAGACACAGCUACUAAAGGGUUGUAUAGUAGUGGAGCUCUCGGUAGGCUAGGGUGGGGGUAAAAGGGAGUCCAACUCAACUAGAGAGGACGGGAAUUGGAAUGAGUGACGCAGACAAAUGUCGGUUGGGAAGACGAUGCACGUGCUUGGUAAUGGCAGGACUGUGUGCACAUCCACACCUGGUGAAGAUUAUACCCAGCUCUUCCACAUUCUGCCUCAUUUAACGACUCAAACCCACCAGCAAUUAAAUCGGUUCAGGCAGGGAUUCGCUGUCUGAAUUUAUCUGACUAGCCGAUACAUUCCUUAAGGGCCUCUGAUGCAACAUCAACGAUAAAUGUCUGAAAAGUUGGAUCAUUGAUAUCAACAGAUUUGCAUUCCCCAUUGGUCCGAUCUGGGAUUUUUGCUGGAACAGAACAUGCAUAUGAAGCAAUAAGAGGCUAUCCGAAAAUAGUCGAGAAUAGAGUUUCCCAUUCAAGCCCUAACCCGGAAAGGGAUUCAUUGUCUUGUUUCGUUAUAACUGAAAUGUUUCAUAUAAAGGCCUUAGCAAUAGGCCUACUGCUAGCUCAAUUAAGACCUCCACUCCCACCUUCAUAUAAAAGUGUUUAUUCUCUCGUUUUUAGCGCAAGGUCGGGGCAUCUCACCCACUCUGGGGUUUGAAUGCCACAUGUAAAUGGGCCGUCUAUACCGAUGUAGGCUCGAGAACAAUGAGCUCACAGGGCCACCCUGCUGGGAUUCAAAUGCCAUCGGAGGUAAUUUGAAUAAAGUAGGACAUUUUCUUUUGUUUUCACACGGGUGAAAUGUGAUAUUUUUUUUCUUUAAGAGACCGUUCCCAAUACAGGCUGAUGUUUUUGUUUCGGUGAAAUGUAUUCUCUCGCAACUGAAACUGGGUAGCAAAGAUGAAUAAUGAAUGCAUCCUUCAGAAGGGGAAUCCUGUGAACUGCCACUGCCCACAGAGUACCCCGUGGUGUCAAAGUUUAAGGAAGGAAAAGUCAUUUGGCCAAACGCACUCCUACACGAUGCAGUCAUUCAUUCUUCAUUCACUCAUUGUUUAACCUGUUCACACAUUCACCUAUUCAUCCACUUUUUAAAUGUGGUUAUUCAUUCGUUAUUAUCAGUUAUUAAUUUAGGCUUUGCUUGUUUGCAUAUAGACUAUGCGUUAUUGCAUCAAAUGCCUAUUUUUGUUGUUGUUUUUUUUAAUUCGUCCCGAAAGUCUCCAAAAGAUGGAGGUCUAGACCGCAGACAGAUGGCGGCCAUUUCUCACAAUGGGAUCACCUGGCGACUCAUGUCGCUCUUGAGAAGGAAUGAUGUAAUUAUUUAUACCCUAAACCGACAGGAGUUUUGUCCCUCACUUCCCUUAAUCAGUAAUUGUCUUGUCAAACACACAUGGACAUGACUAAUACACACACACACACACACACACACACACACACACACACACACUCACACUCACACUCACACUCACACUCACACUCACACUCACACUCACACUCACACUCACACUCUCACUCACUCACUCUAUACUCUAUUAUUAUUUAAACCCCAAUUCUGCCGCUUCGGAUGACAGAGAUUACUGCAGGCUUGUUCUCGUUGAGCCAUUUCUGCCGUAUUAAGUCUGUGUUAGCAGGGAACCUCUUUGUUUUCAGACAACACAAUGCUUGGGAUUCUCUCUAAUGUGUUCUCUGCUGUUUCCCGUUCUCUCGCUCUAUGUCUCUCUUUCUGUCUCUCUCUGCCUCUCAUCAUCUCUCUCUGUCUGUCUGUCUCCAUUUCUCUGUUUCUCUGUGUCUCUCUCCCUUAUUUUGUGUGUUUAAUGUGCCUCCGGCAACAAUCCAUAUCUCUGCUCUUUAUUUUCUUUGUUCAGCCGUGCACUAUAACAAUGUGCAUGCACAUCUUCUGUCUACCUCUACACCACACAAUGGGCCUUCGUAUGAUAUUUUAAGGUAAACCUAGAAUCGUUCAAGUUGAGUGAGAGAGAGACUUCGUAGACAACUGGUGAAAUGUGUGUGCUUUAGUGUAAAGUGAUAUGGGCCUUGCUGGUUCCCAGCGUAAGAUGAAGGAGAAGGUGGUGUUUCCUAAUUGAGACAUUUCUAGAUGUUGUUGUUGUGUCACAGAGUAAUUACAAUUAUAACUAAUCUUAUUGAAUAUUCGGUCAGUUGGUCAUUAUUCUAACUUGGUUGUAUCUCUGUUCCAUUGUGCAUGUUCAAUAUGAUACUUACACUGAUAUGGUCACUGAUUCUUCUUUUGGAAUCAGGCAAUACAUCGUCCUCCCUGUUUCAUGAUUUUGUUAAUAUUAGGUUAGAUGUUUUGGAGGAAGAAAUUCAGACCCCUCUACCGUUGUCUUGUAAAUAAACACUCUUCUGCCCAUCAUCUCCAUGGCAACAGGCUGGUUUAAUGUUUAUAAGUUGACACAGUCUUUCACUGCAGUUCUUUUGAUAUUAUAACAGCCUUUUUUUAUAGAUACACUCUUUAUUCAACCUUUUAGAAAAAAAUAAAAAAACAGCUCGAGUCCUGCGUUAUUAUGAAGGAGAUUCCCCCACCUCACCGACACUGAACGUGAAUCCACGAUUAAAGAAUGAAUUUAAUUAAACAUUUGGGGGUACAACAGCAAAAUCUGUUGCCAUGCUUCCUGCCAUGGUUGUGACACACACACACACACACACACACACACACACACACACACACACACACACACACACACACACACACACACACACACACACACACACACACACACACACAGUCGAUGGAGGGAGGGGACUAGGGUUUGGGCUGUGCAUCAGGGAAGAGGUGUGAUUGGCCAGCUGUAGAAGGACAAAAUAGCAGAAACGUAUGUGUGUGUUUGUGAAUCAGGAUGUAACGUGUUGGGCUAACACAAGGUCUAUAGGUAGAGUUUCUGUUAUUGACUAUCAUCAUUUAAGACCUAUAUGAUGUUUCCUUAAGUUUCUCGAACGUACUCGACUAUUCCGAACAAUGCUAGGGACCCUUAGAUGAGUAGUAAAUGUUGUCAUUGUGUCCGAUAGUGUUCUGGGUAAGAAUGGUUGGGCUCUGUGUAAUCUGUAUGUGUGCCAUAUCCAUGAUGCACUGCACACCCGACGUUGAUAAAAAAAAAAAGAAAAUGA